UUUUUUUUUUUACCCUUGUUUUAUUUUAAUGGUCGGGAAACAUGGGAAGAAUGCAAAUGGGUGAAUGCCUUCUUUGAUUUGCCUUGUUCCUGAGCAUAAUCUGCUGACCUGGCAGGCACCAGGCAUGAGCGGAAUUGCUGCCCCAAACUCUGGCUGCUUUGCAGGUGGUUGGUUGCAGUUUGUGUGUUGGCUCUGGGGAAGCAAUCAGCUCAGAAAGCCCCACCGUGCUACAGGAUGGGGAGCUGGAGGCACUGUCGGGCUGAUUGCCUGCUGCUCACGUAAUAGGACUUAUUCUUUUAAGCAGGGAUAACCUGAAAUCAUGAGGCUUUCCACCCACGUCUGAAAAAUGCACAAUGGAGCGUUUACCCUAAAAACAGCACAAGUGUGGCAUCUCCCCCCUCCCCAGAGGGGACAGGCUGAGAGACCGCAAGAGGAAAACCCACAGCAGCCAGCAGUGAGGUGAGAGCUGGGCUGCAGUGCUGUGUGGGGUCUGUCCUCACCCUGGGAGAUGGGGGAGGCUUCUGAGGAAGCGUGUUUAAAGCGCAGAUGGAAGGGCUGGCUAGGGUUGUAAGAGAGGGAAGGGUGGCUUUGAUUGUGAUAAAUUUGUGCCAUAAUGCUUUGAAUAGCUAGGAAAAGGCUUCAAGAGUGAGUCUAAAUGAUUUUACAAUUCUGGCACGAUACGCACGUUCUGUAAGAUGCACACUUGCUUUAUCCUGCAGGACGCUGGGACUCAGCUUGUGCUCCAAGCUCUGUGGUGGCCAUGUCCCCUCCGCUCACCUCGGACCUGGGCUACGUGCCCCCUGAUGGCGGCUGGGGCUGGGCGGUGGUGUUUGGAGCCUCCAUCUCGGUGGGGUUCUCGUACACCUUCCCCAAAGCUUUCACCAUCUACUUUAAAGAGCUCCAGGCUGUUUUCAGCAUCUCCUACAGCCAGCUUGCCUGGAUCACAUCCAUCAUGUGUGCUACCACCUAUGGGGGAGGGCGAAAUGGAUGUACAGUGUCAAAAGUUCAACAAGCUCCUACAGAACAAUCCAUGUAAGACCUUGAAAGUUAAUACUAAAGCAUCGUGCUUGAUCUGCU
rnacentral:lncRNA from 1 species